AAGGGUGGCUAUACCGCAUACGCCUGUUCGAUCAAUCGGAUAGGGAAAAUCGCAAGAUGCCGAUGGAGCGGCCCGCGACCGAUUAGCCAGUUGGUGGGGUAACGGCCUACCAAAGCGACGAUCGGUAGCUGGUCUCAGAGGAUGAUCAGCCAGACUGGGACUGAGACACGGCCCAGACUCCUACGGGAGGCAGCAGUUAGGAAUUUUGGGCAAUGGGCGCAAGCCUGACCCAGCAACGCCGCGUGGGUGACGAAGGCCUUCGGGUUGUAAAGCCCUUUUCUGGAGGAAGAUGAUGACGGUACUCCAGGAAGAAGCACCGGCUAACUACGUGCCAGCAGCCGCGGUAAUACGUAGGGUGCGAGCGUUGCCCGGAUUUAUUGGGCGUAAAGGGCGCGUAGGCGGCUGUGCACGUCACAUGUGAAAUCGCCUGGCUCAACUGGGCGGGGUCAUGUGAUACGGCAUAGCUGGAGCAAGCUAGGGGGCAAUGGAAUUCCCGGUGUAGUGGUGGAAUGCGUAGAUAUCGGGAGGAACACCAGUGGCGAAGGCGGUUGCCUGGAGCUUUGCUGACGCUGAUGCGCGAAAGCGUGGGGAGCGAUCCGGAUUAGAUACCCGGGUAGUCCACGCCGUAAACGAUGCGGACUAGGUGUCGGGGGUAUCGACCCCCUCGGCGCCGCAGCUAACGCAUUAAGUCCGCCGC
rnacentral:rRNA from 1 species